UAGAAAACCAAAGUCAAAAACGAAAUCACCAUCAAAUCUUUAAUAUGUAGAAUAUAUACAAAUCUCACCUGAGAGAUUAAAGUGGAAGCGUAGAAUCCGGCGACGAAAAAGACAGAGCAUACAAGUAUAACAGCUGCCUUAUAAACAUGUACUUGACUGUACGGACUAAAUAAAAAGGAACAGAAUAUGCUUUGAUAGAUACAAUAUUUUGUUAUUUGGACUAUGUACCCUAAUAAUAGAACAUUUGUUACAUAAUGUAGGAGACUUUAUCUUUUAAUA